CAGGAAACGGUUUAGAACGCCGACACCUACAAUAAGCUGCUUUGGAAUGGACGAACUGCAAGGUAGCCAAGAAGUGCAAGUACACCAAGGAAAGGCAAUAACCGAAGCCAUUCUGAAACUGUGAGUCUCGCGAACCCGGUAAUACUUUCGGGGACUGGGAGCCGCUUCAGAUAUGCGGGGAGCUGCACCUUCACAAUGCGGGCCACGCUCUCCAGCACCAUCCUGGCCAGCAGUGUCCACUCGUCUCCGGAGCCCCCUCCGCUCUGGUCAAGCCGCAGGGCCUGCGCCGACAGCGGAAGCGCGAAGGAUUUCUUGGGCAAGAUUAUUAUUUGUUGUAAAGGACUGUGCUGUGAACUGCAGAUGUUUAGCAGCACCUCUGGACUCUAUCCACUAGAUGCCAGCAGCACCCCUGAGAGACAGAGUCUUACUCUGUUGCCCAGGCUGGAGUGUAAUGGCACAAUCUUGGCUCACUGCAACCUCUGCCUCCCAGGUUCAAGCGAUUCUCCUGCCUCAGCCUCCUGAGUAGCUGCAAUUACAGGUGCUUGCCACCACGCCCAACUAAGUUUUGUAUUUUUAGUAGAGAUGGGGUUUUACCAUGUUGGCCAGGCUGGUCUCGAAUUCCUGACCUCAAGUGAUCUGCCUGCCUCGGCCUCCCAAAAUGCUAGGAUUACAGGCAUGAGCCAUCAUGCCUGGCUGUGAAAGACUUUUUUCCUUUAUUUGUAAGGUCACUUUGAUUUUACAAGAGAAAAAUAAGAUUUAUAGGAAAGCAAUAAAGCAAUAAAAUCAGUAAUAACUUCUCUAAAGACAUUUAAUAACAACACAAAAUGAACUUUUUUUUUUUUUUUUGGUUUGAGACAAUUUCUUGCUAUGUUCCCCUGACUGAUCUCGAAUUCCUGGGCUUAAGCAAGCACUCUAUUCACGCCUCUUGAGUAGCUCAGAUUACAGAUUGCAGCACCACACCUGGCUUUGGUUUAGAAGAUUUUGAUAUGACUUGCUUAAAAGAAAUAAUUUUUUUUUUUUUGAUACGGAGUCCUUUGCUCUGUCACCCUGGCUAGAAAGCAGUGGUACAAUCAUAGCUCACUCCAUCCUCAAACUCCUGGGGUCCAGUGACCAUCCUGUCCCAGCCUCCUCAACAGUUGGGAUUAUAUGUGUGAGUCACUUAUCUCCAGCAAUCAACAAUUUUUAGAUAGUAUUAUAAGUAAAGUUCACUGCCCUAGAACGUUUGUGGAGGGAGCUAAGGGAAUCAAUAUUACCUGUAUUCAGAAUGGUUUUGGUAUAACCAGAAGCAGAGUAGUUCUCAAUGUGGUAACGGAGAUAAAAUAAUGUCCUUUAUAUGCACGGCUCAGGGGUAACCAACACUAAAUUUAGUUACCAAAGACUUUAUAAAGUAAAGACUGCCUACAUGCAUGUUUCUUCUAGGAACUGGGAAAAUUGCAGUAUUACUUAAUGUUAAGCAAGGAGUAGGUAUACAUUUGCUCUGCUUGUUUCAUGUGUUCUUGUACCAGGAUCUGUUGUUUUCUUCACAUCCUGCAACUACAUUUUUUUAAUCAUCUAUUUUUAAAAAAUAAUUUUAACUUUUAUUUUAGAUUCAAGGGAUACAUGUACAGGUUUAUUACAAGGAUAUGCUGUGAGGUCUAAGGUAAGAAUGAUCCUGUCACCCAGGUAGUAAGCAUAGUACCCAAGAGGUAGUUUUAGGUUUUUAAAAAUUUUUUUGAGAUGGAGUCUCACUCUGUCAUCCAGGCUAGAGCGUAGUGGCACAAUCUUGGCUUACUGCAGCCUCUGCCUCCCGGGUUCAAGUGACUCUCCUGCCUUAACCUCCCAAGUAGCUGGAUUACAGGUGUGCACCACCACGCCUGGCUAAUUUUUCUAUUUUUAGUAGAGAUGGCGUUUCGCCAUGUUGGCCAGGUUGGUCUCAAACUCCUGACUUCAAGAUAUCCACCUGCCUCGGCCUCCCAAAGUGCUGGGAUUACAGACAUGAGCUACCAUCCCUGGCCCCAAGAGGUAGUUUUCUAGCCCUUGACCCCCAACUCUUAGACUACAUUUUUAUUUAUUUAUUUUGAGAUGGAGUCUUGCUCUGUCACCCAGGCUGGAGUGCAGUUGCGUGAUCUCAGCUCACUGUAGCCUCCACCUCUUGGGUUCAAGCCGUUCUCUGUCUCAGCUGCCUGAGUGGCUGGGAUUACAAGCGCCCACCACCAGGCCCAGCUAAUUUUUGUAUUUUAGUAGAGAUGGGGUUUCAUUAUCUUGGCCAGGCUGCUCUUGAACUCCUGACCUCGUGAUCCACCCACCUCCUUUGUAAUUCCAAAGUGCUGGGAUUACAGGCAUGAGCCACCGCACCUGGCCAAGAUAUAUUUUUAUUGAAUGUCACCAGUAAGAACAAAAUCCACCAUAAAACAAUUGUUUUGUUUAUGAACACAGCCAAUCCCACAGAAACAGAUGUGUACUUUCCAUGCUAUGCAAAUGGGAUUUUAUUUAUAAAAAUAUCCCAUAAGAUAGUUCUAACAUAUCCUUAUUCUUCCUUUUAGCUUCAUGUUAUACAUCCAGAGCAUGUGCAUUAUGUAGACCAAAGAGUACAUAAUAGCACUUAAAAGUUAAAGUUAGCACUGUUAGCCUAAACAACAACUUAGGUAUAAAAAUACAGACCUCUGU